CAUAAGUCAUGGAUGGUCCACUCU
rnacentral:piRNA from 1 species